ensembl:lncRNA
GCUUACUCAAAUCUGGUGAUUGAGCAGGCAAGCAGCGUCUGGGAAGACUUAAGGAUGGAUGAAAUGGAAGCAUCGGAAGAAUGCAACCAAGAACCGCUAUGCUGAUGCGGAGAAGGCAAUGGAAACCCACUCCAGUACUCUUGCCUGGAAAAUCCCAUUGAUGGAGGAGCCUGGUAGGCUGCAGUCCAUGGGAUCACGAAGAGUCGGACAUGACUGACGCGACGUAGCAGCAGCCAUGCUGAUGUGAUAGAAGCUUCAAGUUUCCUGUGACCUUGCCCCCAUGGCCACCCCACGCACAAAUG